AACUGACUUCGCCCCCUCCCCCAUUCUGCCUCCACCUCUCGGGGCGCGGAUGGUGCUGAAUCAUGAGCGCGGACAGCAGCAGCAGCUCUCCGUCCGUUGCUCCCGGAGGGGACACUGUCCCCAGGGCAGCGGCUGCGGCCUCCGGAACGUGGGAACGGUGGAAGGAGGUUGCGGGGGGGAGGAGGGAGAGGGCGGGAUGGCGGCAGCAGGUACUCACUGGGGGUGAGGGCAGCCAGCCCAGGUCCUCACCUUCCCGCCACGGGCCGUCCCUCGGCAGUUCCCGCGCUCCCCGGCUUGCCCGCGGGCGGCUCCCCAGGGCCCGGGCAACCUGCGCUGGUGGUCCGGCGAUGCCCUCCGCCUGCCCACCGCCCGCGGCAGCCACGGCUCGGGGCUCCUACGCUCGACCAGGAGCAGCUGGAGCAGCUGUCGCUGCCCUAGGGGGUGGUGGCUACCGACGGGCCAGACCAUUCGCCCGCUGCGGCCGGGGGUGCGCAACGAGCGGGGAGGCGCGAGCGGCGAGCGCCGGGGGCUGGCGGCGGUUGGGAGGCACCACGGGCGAGGGGGUCUUCUGCCCGCGCAGAGCCAGGAGCGCUCGGGGCCACGAGGUACCCACCGAGGAGCCGCUUGCUCGUCCCGGUGACCGACUGAAGCCGGCGCUCGGGCUUCUCCGGGCACCCCCAUUCGCGUUCGCCUUGGUCUGGCUCUGGGCUCCUCCCGAACGCGGCCAACAGAGGACCUAGCAACGGGAGUGCUUGGGCGGGGUCCCUCCCGAGGGGAUGCGAGGGGCGCUGCCCGCCGGCCUGCGCCGCGCCGCCGCCAUCUCCUCGUCUUCCGCCGGGCCCAGGACACCGGUUCCCGGUGCACGUCCGACGGCACAACCAAGCCGGACGUCCCCAUUGCUUGGAGGAGCGCCUCAGAUCUGUUAACCUCAGCAUCCCUGUGAAGCAAAGAAUGAAGGAGUAUCCAAGGCGGGCUUGAAAGUUAGCAAAUAAAAUCAGGUGGGGCCCCCACCCUGUAGGCACUUCGCAAAUAAGAGAGGAGGGACAGUGGGAAUCCCAGAGUUGCUGUCAAGCAAAUGUUGAGUCACUGCAGGUGCAAAGUGCAGAUGGAGGAAACCCUUUUCAGCAUACAGAACUCUGCAAGGUUAUGGAAGAAAGUCAAGGAUGUUUGAGAUUAAUACCUUGCUUGGAAGGCAAUCGUGUCCUUAGAUAAACUUUAUAGACCUGGAGGGUCUUUCUUUAGAAAAUACGUGAUAUGGCAAAAUUAGAGUGAGGGAAAGAUAGAGUCCGAGUGGUUGCAACGGUCGGGGCUGGUCCAGGCCAAAGCCAGGAACCUGAAACUCCAUCUGGGUAUCCCACAUGGGUGGCAGGGGCCAAAGGACUUGGGCCAUCAUCCACUGCUUUCCCUGGCACAUCAGAGCUGGAUGGGGAGUGGAGCAGCUGGGACUAGAACAGGUGAUCAUAUGGGAUGCUGGACACUUUUUUUGUCCCCGCCCCUGGAACAGCCGGGAUUUCCAAUUUCAUCCCCUCAUUUAUGCUUAUUAAAAACUCCUGUGCAAUUGAUAAUAUUGCUCCCAUUACCUAAACAGAGAAACUGUGUUCUGAGUUUGUUGUGUUAGGUUCAAGUCCCAUAGAUUGUAAGUGAAAGAGUGGGUAUUGCUUCCUGGAGUCUUUGACUAGGGCCAUUCCACUAGAAUGCCUCUGAGAAAGGUGCACAUUAAACCUUAUUGCAUAUAUGAUUGGCAUUUGAAUGUGAGUUUAACUUAGCUUUAGAAAAACAGGGUUUCACAAUAAAGAGAGGGGAUUCUUAAGUAUCUAAGGCAGAUAUUACCCUGAGGUAGGAAUAGGCAUUAGGAAGAGUCUGGGCUUCACUAAUCUGCAAAUCAGAACUGCAGAAUUGCAGUUAGAGUAUGAGCAUUUUAAACCCGUGAUUAACACACCUGUGUCCACUUCAAAGUGCCUGGGUUCAGUUUGUGGCUCCAGCCCCUGACUCCACCUCUCUGCUAAUGCAGACCCUGGGUGGCAGCAGGUGAUGGCUCAAGUAAUUGGGUUCCUGCCUCCCACCUGGGAGACCUGGUUUGGGUUCCUGGCUAUGACUCCAGCCCAAUCGCUGCCAUUGUGGGCAUUUGGGGAGUGAAUCGGUAUUCAUUUUGUCUCCUCCUCCACUUCCCUCUAACAUAACAUUUGUUUUUAAAAAAUGGGCACAGCAUUGUGGUGCAGCAUUUUAAGCUACUGCCUUUGACACCAGCAUCCCAUAUGAUCACCUGUUCUAGUCCCAGCUAUAUAUAAAUAAUUCUUAUUUGAAAAGCAAGAUUGAAACAUGUUGUUGGGGUCUUGUGAAGGUAAGGAGGGGUUAUUGCCCUCUGGUUAUUGACUUUUAUACUGUCAUUUGCUCGGUGUAAUACUUCACACUUACACUGUCACUAAUAACAUUUUACUUUCUCAGUCUUCCAAUUCUUGGUAGUAGCAAGUUUUUUUUUAAUAUUUUGUAAAGAUUUAUUUAUUUAUUUAUUUGAGAGGCAGAGUUACAGACAGAGGGAGAGACAGAGAGAAAGGUCUUCCAUCCACUGGUUCACUCCCCAAAUGGCCACAAUGCCUGGAGCUGGGUGGAUCCAAAGCCAGGAGCCAGGAUCUUCUUCCAAGUCUCCCACAUGGGUGCAGGGGUCCAAGCAGUUGGGCCAUCUUCUAGGCAGUAGCAAGUUUUUUAAUGGACCUCAUGUCACGUUUCCUCUUCUUACCUUACCAGAAUUUAUAGAAAAACUAUCAGGGAUAGUAACAAUUCUCACACCACCUCAAGAGAGCUUUUGAGAAAUUAGGAAUAAAAUUAUGUGGUGUCCCUAUGCUAUGCCCCCGUUAACUGCUAUUAUAAACAUUUACACAUGAGUACAAGCACAACAGAUAUGCCCAGAGCUCCAUGUUGUGAGGAGCCAGAGUACUGGGUCCCCAGAGAAGCCAGGCAGCUGCAACUCAGAGCCAGAGUGCACUGAGCCUCAUCAGUGUUUGAGCCUUCUCCUCGUGUGCAGUUAUUUCACUUUCAAAGGCAAACAUAACAGGAAUAGAACAAGAAUGGACGAGGUGCCUUUGCACUAGUACUUUUUCUUUUCUUUUUCUUUUUUUUUUUUUUUUUUUUGUUUUUUGUUUUUUGACAGGCAGAGUGAACAGUGAGAGAGAGAGAGAGACAGAGAGAAAGGUCUUCCUUUGCCGUUGGUUCACCCUCCAAUGGCCACCGCGGCCGGCGCACUGCCGCCAUCGCGCCGCCCUGAUCCGAUGGCAGGAGCCAGGUGCUUCUCCUGGUCUCCCAUGGGGUGCAGGGCCCAAGCACUUGGGCCAUCCUCCACUGCACUCCUGGGCCACAGCAGAGAGCUGGCCUGGAAGAGGGGCAACCGGGACAGAAUCCGGCGCCCCAACCGGGACUCGAACCCCGUGUGCCGGUGCCGCAAGGUGGAGGAUUAGCCUAGAGAGCCGCGGCGCCGGCCGAGCACUAGUACUUUUUCUAAGAUGCUAGAUGAUAAGGCUGUAGGAAAGAGGGAAAAAUCGUGGGUGGUCCACAUAAGACCCUAGGGAAAUUUAGAAUUUGUCCUUCUUGGACCUGAUGGGCUGAUGUUCUCUCUCUCCAUCAGUUGACAUCCUUGGAGUGUAUAUUUCCAAAUCAAGGAGGAAGUGGAAUUCUCAUGCUAGGAAACUGUCCAAAGGAACAGAGGAAUUGAGGGAAGCGGAAUGGCUGCAUCCUCUGUUCUCCCCCAGUCUUUGAAUGAUUUUGAGCCCCCUGAGGAUGGAUUGGUGGGGUCAGAAGCUGAGGAGUCAUUUGAAAAGUCACAGAUGACUAAGAAGUACACUUUGAGCCUCCUGACAAAGUCCAGCACAGAGCUGGAGAGAGAGCCAUUGUCUCCCUAGUUUGCCAGGGAUCACUGCACAGCAGGGAGCUGCUUUCCCGGCAAGAGCAUAUUCUCAUGAAGCACACUGCUGGCCAAUACAAGGUCAAGGUAACUUGACCAGAACCCCAGAGCAGUAGAGAAGGAGUGGAAUUGUUCCUGAGCAGCUGAGCGAUAAAACUGAAGAUUUUCUUCAUGAAUGAGGGAGCCUUGGUGUGGGAAGAUAAAUGUUACAUAAGACUAUUGUUGAGGCUGGCACUGUGGAGCAGUAUGUAAAGCCACAGUCUGCAACACUGGUAUUCCAUUUGAGUGCCUUAAGUCCCAGCAGCUCUACUUCCAGUCCAGAUCCCUGCUAAUGCAUCUGGAAAAGCAUGAGAGGAUGGCCCAAGGUCUCAGGCUCCUGCCACCCACACAGGAGACCCAGAGGGAGGUUUGGCCCCCAGCUUCUGCCUGGUCCAUCCCAGGUUUUUGAAGCCAUUUGGAAAGUGAACCGCAGAUGGAACAUCUCUCUCUCUGUCUCUCUGUAACUCUACCUUUCAAAUAAAUAAAUCUUUAAAAAAAAAAAAUUGUUGUUAAACCUUAUUUAUACACUGCCAUUAAAGUGAAUUCAAUCAUAUUCACAAACCAGCUUGACCUGGGACAUUCAAAAGGUAUUGUUUUUUAGAUGAUACUAGUAAGAAGAGAGGGAGAGAGAAAAUACUUACUGCCUUUGAUAAAUCUUCAGUGUGCAUCACACAGUGUUAAACCUUGAUUCAAAAAUUUUUAAAUUUUUAUUAAUUUUAUAUAUACUUUACUUAAGAGGCAGAGAGAAAGAGACACGGGAAGGGAAUAGAUUCAUUCCCCAAAUGCCUGCAACAGCUGAGUGUAGGCCAAGCCAAAGCAGGAGCCAGGAACUUAAUCUGGGUCUUCCACAUAUGUGGCAGGGUCUCAGUUACUUGAGCCACCACCUGCUGCCUCCUGGGGUGUGCAUUAGCAGGAAGUUGGAAUCAGGAAACAUAGCUGGGAUUCGAACCCGGGCACUAUUAUAUGCAAUGAAGGCAUCCCAACAAUUAACCACUAGGCCAAAUGCCUGCCCCUUGAUUCAAGAAUAUUCAUAAAGUUCCUAGUAUGUAUUAACUCCCAUUAAGGCAUCUGAUACAUAUCCCCAAUUAUUCCUGCUGAAGAAAGUAUUUAAUAAUGUCAUUCUUGUUUGCUGUUAACCAGCACCUAUUAAGCUGUUGGUGUAUUUGAGAUAAGUACUAUCACCAUGUGAAGUAAGUACUACUUCAUCCCUAUUUUAUAGAUGAAGAAGCUAAGAGUUACAAUGGUUAAUAAUUUGACGAAGGCCAGAAAGAGGCAAAGGGAUGUUUCAAACCCAAACGUAUGAUGUUUCUCUCCACAUAAUUUUACUGUUCCCUGAUACACAGAAAACAAGAUGAUUCUAGGAAGAAGGGAGCCAAGGCUCCUUGUUCCUAAGCCUUCAUUUCCUCAUCUGGAAACUAGAAAUAAUAAAACCUAAUCUUAAUGAGGAUCAAGAUUGUUUCUGCCACACAGUGAUUGCAGGUAAUCUGAUGCUUUGCCUUUUACUCUUUGAGUGACCUUGACCAAGUGACUGCAUUUCUUUGGCAUUUUAUUUUAAACAUUUAUAAAAUGGUGCUAAUAUCUAUUUCUCUUAUGUAUGUUUGUUGUGAGGGUCAGAUAAGAUAAUGAUACAUGAAAAAUUUUUUAUAAAGUACUAGAAAAUAUGAAGUGAGCAUUUGGUUUAAUAACUAAAACACUCUUUGGAACAACUGCAUCCCAUAUCAGAGUGCCUGGGUUCAAUUCUCAGGUCUGAUUUUAGUUCUAGCUUCUGGCUAAUGCACACCCUGGGAGGCAGCAGUUAAUGGCUUGAAUAUUUGGGCCCCCGCCACGGAAAUGUGAGGUGAGAACUGAGUUCCUAGCUCUUGGCUUCACCUAAGCCCACCCCUAGCUGUUGUGGGCAUUUGGAGUUGAACCAACUAAUGGGAGCUGUCUCUCUGCUUUUCAAAUGAAUACAUUUAAUUAACUCAUUCAUUCAUUAAUUAAAAAUAAAUUAUUGAAAAAAGGAUAAUUAUUUCUUAAAGCUACCACUGAUAGAAUUUUCCCUGCUACAUAGUCUUACAUGUUCUGAGGUUAGCCAAAAUAUUAUAUGG